CCGCCGCCUCCGCCUCCGCCUCCGCCGCCGCUGUCAACAGACAUCGCGGAUCCCUCAGCUGAUCAGCCGGGCGGGGCCAGCAGCGUCCGUGCCCUGCGAUUGGCUGGCGGUGUCGCCCACCGAACGCGGCGGCUAGAGCGGAACCCCGAGCGGCCAUCGAGAGGGGGAGUGUGGGGGCUGGCGGAGUGUGCGCAGACGGCUGGCUGUGGGUCUGAGCGCCAUUUUUGGUGAUGGCCAGGACGACUUCGACUAUUGAGAGCUCGGCGGUCGGCGCCAUGUUAAGUCAGGGCAAAAGGGAUGGAGUUACUUAGGGGUCGGGCGUCCGAAACAAAUCCUCAAAGCUGUGUUGGACGUGCGCGUGGUUUUGAAGUGCUCGAAGCGCAGUCAGCCUGUCUAAUGGCGAGAUCUGCGAGAUAAACCCGCACUUCCGGAUGUCGAUUUCCACCGGCCGGGGAGCACUGACCCGGAAGUCGGCUAAUGCGCCGGGAGGAUUGAGCGAGCGAAAGCAGCUGCGUCGGAAAGCGAGUAUCCUCCUUCUGAGAUUGUUAUUCCCCGCCGUUUUGUGAAGCUCUGAGAUCUCUGGACUUGCUCUCGGAACCAGGGCCUCGCCCUAUCAGUCUACGCAGGCUGGGAUGCAGCCGCGCCAAAGGCACAGCCCCAGCCUUCUUGCGCGACAGGUGUCAGGACCGCUGGGACAGAGGAGGCGGUCAGGCCAAAGGUACCCGUCCACUUAGCCUUAGCGCAGCGCCUCUCUCCUGCCUCGGAUUCCAGACAUAGCAAAGGCCAGAAUUAAAAAUUCCUCUUAAGAAAUUUGGUUUAGGGGCGCCUGGGUGGCUUAGUCCAUUAAGCGUCUGCCUUUGGCUCUGGUCAUGAUCCUGGAGACCUGGGAUCGAGGCGUAUGGGGUUCCCUGCUCAGCGGGGAACCUGCUUCUCCCUCUGCCGCUCCCCCUGCUCCUGCCCUUUCUCUCUCUCUCUAAUAAAUAAAUAAAAUCUUAAAAGAAAAAAAUAAGAAAUUUGGUUUAGGUGGAAAAACGCAGCCCCUUAUUGGACUCUUUGGGUAUUGGAGACAGUAUGUGUCUGGCUAAGCAGGACUUUUUGUUCAAGAACACAGCUGUUCCAGCCCCAGCAGCAUCUCAGCUUUCCACGAAGAACUGGACAUUGCGCUGAGCAGGGAAACGCUUACCAAGCCCUGAUUCUAGACACUCUGAUCGCUCUCUGAUUCCAGUAGAACACAUCGACUGUGGGUUAUGUCACCAGGACUUACUAAUUCCUUCCAAUGAUGUAAUGCUAUCCUGCACAAAACAUAUUGAGGUCUGUAAUGAUUACUCAUUACUUGUACUUCUGUUUUGAGGAUGUAAUCCAGGAAAAUGAAGGGGGUUUUCAUCUUAAGUUUACUUGAAUCAUCAGAGAAAGUCUUACUGACUUGUUUAACAUAUUUCUUUGCUUCAGCGAAUAUAUACAAGUAUGUAAAAAAAGGAUUCAGCAUUCAAAAAUAAAAAUGUGGUAUCAAAACCUACCCACAGAUGGGUGGGGCUUUUCCAAAGGGAAGAGGGUAGGUGGACGUCUAUGCAGAAACAGGAGCAACAGGGGACAUGUCAGCUAAUAUCUGGAGAGGGCAAAAUGUUCCUCUAAAACCCCACUGGUCUCCAGAGGACAUCCCUCACGACAGCAUAACCUCUUCCGGGCAGGACCUUAUUUAAACACCACAUGAAGUAAAAGUUUCUUGUCACCUAGAACAUAUUUCAGCUUUGAACUGCUAUGAUGUUGAGGCCAAACAGAAAAUCUUGUCAUUACAAUGGAAUGUAAUUGCAGUUUGGAAACACCUCUUAUAAUAUUACAGGAAAAUGCAUCUAGAAAGGUCCCACCUGGAAAAUCAUGGAUAUUCCUCAAACCUUGCACACUUGUUCAUGAGACAGCAAGCUUCCUCUGCUCCAUGGCAUCCAACCCAAAAAGCAGGGCCACUGGGGUGGAGCGAUGGGCAGGUAACUGAAAGUAAGCACAGGUUCCAAAAGCAAAGUAUUGCAGCUAAAAAUCAUGCUCAAAAGAUAAAGCCACAGAACCCAUGAAAAUCAGAGCCAGGGCUGAUACUUGAAAUAAAAAACAAGAUGGGAAAUGA